rnacentral:rRNA from 1 species
CCCUUAGAUGUCCUGGGCUGCACGCGCGCUACACUGGAAGUUACGGAUUGAGAUACUACCUUGUCCGAAAUGGUCCGGGUAAUCACCUAAAAGCUUGUCAUAAUUGGAAUGGAUUAUUGUAACUAGUAAUCCUGAACGAGGAAUUCCUAGUAAGUCCCAGUCAACAGCUGGUACUGAUUACGUCCCUGCCCUUUGUACACACUGCCCGUCGCUACUACUGAUUGGACGUUUAAGCAAGAUUUUUAAACACUGACAGUGUGUAGUUCACGCUAUACUACAGUGAGAAGAAGAAGAUCGAGCUUACUUGUCUAGAGGAAGUAAAAGUCGUAACA